AAUAUUGGUCAAUGGGGGCAACCCUGAACCAGCCAUGCCGCGUGCAGGACGACUGCCCUAUGGGUUGUAAACUGCUUUUGCUAGGGAAUAAACCCCGCCACGCGUGGCGGGCUGAACGUACCUAGAGAAUAAGGAUCGGCUAACUCCGUGCCAGCAGCCGCGGUAAUACGGAGGAUCCGAGCGUUAUCCGGAUUUAUUGGGUUUAAAGGGUGCGUAGGCGGCGCUUUAAGUCAGGGGUGAAAGACGGCAGCUCAACUGUCGCAGUGCCCUUGAUACUGAAGCGCUUGAAUGCGGUUGAAGACGGCGGAAUGAGACAAGUAGCGGUGAAAUGCAUAGAUAUGUCUCAGAACACCGAUUGCGAAGGCAGCUGUCUAAGCCGUUAUUGACGCUGAUGCACGAAAGCGUGGGGAUCGAAC
rnacentral:rRNA from 1 species